GAUGAACGCUGGCGGCGUGCCUAAUACAUGCAAGUCGAGCGAACGGACGAGAAGCUCGCUUCUCUGAUGUUAGCGGCGGACGGGUGAGUAACACGUGGAUCACCUACUUAUAAGACUGGGAUAACUUCGGGAAACCGGAGCUACUACCGGAUCAUAUUUUGAACCGCAGGGUUCAAAAGUUAAAGACGGUUUUGCUGUCACUUAUAGAUGGUUCCGCGCUGCAUUAGCUAGUUGGUAAGGUAACGGCUUACCAAGGCAACGAUGCAUAGCCGACCUGAGAGGGUGAUCGGCCACACUGGAACUGAGACACGGUCCAGACUCCUACGGGAGGCAGCAGUAGGGAAUCUUCCGCAAUGGGCGAAAGCCUGACGGAGCAACGCCGCGUGAGUGAUGAAGGUCUUCGGAUCGUAAAACUCUGUUAUUAGGGAAGAACAUAUGUGUAAGUAACUGUGCACAUCUUGACGGUACCUAAUCAGAAAGCCACGGCUAACUACGUG
rnacentral:rRNA from 1 species